UACGUAGGGAGCAAGCGUUGUCCGGAAUCAUUGGGCGUAAAGCGCGCGUAGGUGGCCUCAUAAGUCCGCUGUGAAAGUCCAAGGCUCAACCUUGGAAAGCCGGUGGAUACUGUGAGGCUAGAGUACGGAAGAGGCGAGUGGAAUUCCUGGUGUAGCGGUGGAAUGCGCAGAUAUCAGGAGGAACACCAAUAGCGAAGGCAGCUCGCUGGGGACGUUACUGACACUGGAGGCGCGAAAGCGUGGGGAGCGAAC
rnacentral:rRNA from 1 species